ensembl:lncRNA
UCCUUUUAGAAAAGUUUGCCAAGCCAAGAAGAGUAGUUUAAUAUUUACCUAAGAACCAAACCUGUCAAACCAGAUUGUUCCAUACGAGUAGCUGCGGUAAUAAGCACCAGUAGCUAAAUGUGUAAGAACAUCAAACUUCAAAUUUCAAAGCUUCUUGAAGAAGAGAGUUCUAGAUUUCUCCAGAAGAAUAGGAAUGUGUUCUGGGAAGAAACAACAGAAAAGCUGGGAGUUGAAUAUCGAACUUCAUGUCUUUAUCCUUGCUGUGAAGACAGACCUUCCACAUUGAGUGAAAAUGCCUGCGUAAGUAGCAGUGCUUUUGCUGUAGUGUACUUUUAUCUAGUUUGUGCCUCAUCGUGGUUGCCUUUCCCUUCUCCUCAUUGUUGGUAUUUCUCCAAGGAGCACAGGCAGCACCUGGGUUCUGUGCAUGCCAGCACCUUUGCAUGCAGUUAUGCAUGCACAGUUCCACUGAGAGCAAGAGGAUUAGCUUUUGCUUUGCAAGAAUCUGAAUGGAAAUGAAGUUGCAGAACAGGCUCCCUGCACCCCAUAUUUUCAACAGACCAGAACUUCAGUUCUGCUUGUGGAGAAAAAUCAAAAGGCC